rnacentral:tRNA from 1 species
ACUUAUAUAGUUUAAAUUAAAACAUUACAUUUUCAUUGUAAAAAUAAAAAACGAUUUUUUAUAAGUA